ACGGGAGGCAGCAGUGGGGAAUAUUGCACAAUGGGGGAAACCCUGAUGCAGCGACGCCGCGUGAGUGAAGAAGUAUCUCGGUAUGUAAAGCUCUAUCAGCAGGGAAGAAAAUGACGGUACCUGAUGAAUAAGCCACGGCUAACUACGUGCCAGCAGCCGCGGUAAUACGUAGGUGGCAAGCGUUAUCCGGAUUUACUGGGUGUAAAGGGCGCGUAGGCGGGGAUGCAAGUCAGAUGUGAAAUCCAUGGGCUCAACCCAUGAACUGCAUCUGAAACUGUAUCUCUUGAGUGUCGGAGAGGUAGACGGAAUUCCUAGUGUAGCGGUGAAAUGCGUAGAUAUUAGGAGGAACACCAGUGGCGAAGGCGGUCUACUGGACGAUAACUGACGCUGAGGCGCGAAAGCGUGGGGAGCAAACAGGAUUAGAUACCCUGGUA
rnacentral:rRNA from 1 species